rnacentral:rRNA from 1 species
CUAAGAAUAUUCCGCAAUGGACGAAAGUCUGACGGAGCGACGCCGCGUGGAUGAAGAAGGCCGAAAGGUUGUAAAGUUCUUUUGUUGGGGAAGAAUAACCAUGGGAGGGAAUGCCCGUGGGAUGACAUGAACCGACGAAUAAGCCCCGGCUAACUACGUGCCAGCAGCCGCGGUAACACGUAGGGGGCGAGCGUUGUUCGGAAUUACUGGGCGUAAAGGGCAUGUAGGCGGUCUUGUAAGCUUGGCGUGAAAGACCACGGCUCAACCGUGGGAUUGCGUUGAGAACUGCGAGGCUUGAGUGACGGAGAGGGAGCUAGAAUUCCUGGUGUAGGGGUGGAAUCUGUAGAGAUCAGGAAGAAUACCAAUGGCGAAGGCAAGCUCCUGGCCGAUGACUGACGCU